rnacentral:rRNA from 1 species
ACUAAGCGUACACGGUGGAUGCCCUGGCAGUCAGAGGCGAUGAAGGACGUGCUAAUCUGCGAUAAGCGUCGGUAAGGUGAUAUGAACCGUUAUAACCGGCGAUUUCCGAAUGGGGAAACCCAGUGUGUUUCGACACACUAUCAUUAACUGAAUCCAUAGGUUAAUGAGGCGAACCGGGGGAACUGAAACAUCUAAGUACCCCGAGGAAAAGAAAUCAACCGAGAUUCCCCCAGUAGCGGCGAGCGAACGGGGAGGAGCCCAGAGCCUGAAUCAGUGUGUGUGUUAGUGGAAGCGUCUGGAAAGGCGCGCGAUACAGGGUGACAGCCCCGUACACAAAAAUGCACAUGCUGUGAGCUCGAUGAGUAGGGCGGGACACGUGGUAUCCUGUCUGAAUAUGGGGGGACCAUCCUCCAAGGCUAAAUACUCCUGACUGACCGAUAGUGAACCAGUACCGUGAGGGAAAGGCGAAAAGAACCCCGGCGAGGGGAGUGAAAAAGAACCUGAAACCGUGUACGUACAAGCAGUGGGAGCCUCUUUUAUGGGGUGACUGCGUACCUUUUGUAUAAUGGGUCAGCGACUUAUAUUCUGUAGCAAGGUUAACCGAAUAGGGGAGCCGAAGGGAAACCGAGUCUUAACUGGGCGUUAAGUUGCAGGGUAUAGACCCGAAACCCGGUGAUCUAGCCAUGGGCAGGUUGAAGGUUGGGUAACACUAACUGGAGGACCGAACCGACUAAUGUUGAAAAAUUAGCGGAUGACUUGUGGCUGGGGGUGAAAGGCCAAUCAAACCGGGAGAUAGCUGGUUCUCCCCGAAAGCUAUUUAGGUAGCGCCUCGUGAAUUCAUCUCCGGGGGUAGAGCACUGUUUCGGCAAGGGGGUCAUCCCGACUUACCAACCCGAUGCAAACUGCGAAUACCGGAGAAUGUUAUCACGGGAGACACACGGCGGGUGCUAACGUCCGUCGUGAAGAGGGAAACAACCCAGACCGCCAGCUAAGGUCCCAAAGUCAUGGUUAAGUGGGAAACGAUGUGGGAAGGCCCAGACAGCCAGGAUGUUGGCUUAGAAGCAGCCAUCAUUUAAAGAAAGCGUAAUAGCUCACUGGUCGAGUCGGCCUGCGCGGAAGAUGUAACGGGGCUAAACCAUGCACCGAAGCUGCGGCAGCGACACUGUGUGUUGUUGGGUAGGGGAGUGUUCUGUAAGCCUGUGAAGGUGUACUGUGAGGUAUGCUGGAGGUAUCAGAAGUGCGAAUGCUGACAUAAGUAACGAUAAAGCGGGUGAAAAGCCCGCUCGCCGGAAGACCAAGGGUUCCUGUCCAACGUUAAUCGGGGCAGGGUGAGUCGACCCCUAAGGCGAGGCCGAAAGGCGUAGUCGAUGGGAAACAGGUUAAUAUUCCUGUACUUGGUGUUACUGCGAAGGGGGGACGGAGAAGGCUAUGUUGGCCGGGCGACGGUUGUCCCGGUUUAAGCGUGUAGGCUGGUUUUCCAGGCAAAUCCGGAAAAUCAAGGCUGAGGCGUGAUGACGAGGCACUACGGUGCUGAAGCAACAAAUGCCCUGCUUCCAGGAAAAGCCUCUAAGCAUCAGGUAACAUCAAAUCGUACCCCAAACCGACACAGGUGGUCAGGUAGAGAAUACCAAGGCGCUUGAGAGAACUCGGGUGAAGGAACUAGGCAAAAUGGUGCCGUAACUUCGGGAGAAGGCACGCUGAUAUGUAGGUGAAGCGACUUGCUCGUGGAGCUGAAAUCAGUCGAAGAUACCAGCUGGCUGCAACUGUUUAUUAAAAACACAGCACUGUGCAAACACGAAAGUGGACGUAUACGGUGUGACGCCUGCCCGGUGCCGGAAGGUUAAUUGAUGGGGUCAGCGCAAGCGAAGCUCUUGAUCGAAGCCCCGGUAAACGGCGGCCGUAACUAUAACGGUCCUAAGGUAGCGAAAUUCCUUGUCGGGUAAGUUCCGACCUGCACGAAUGGCGUAAUGAUGGCCAGGCUGUCUCCACCCGAGACUCAGUGAAAUUGAACUCGCUGUGAAGAUGCAGUGUACCCGCGGCAAGACGGAAAGACCCCGUGAACCUUUACUAUAGCUUGACACUGAACAUUGAGCCUUGAUGUGUAGGAUAGGUGGGAGGCUUAGAAGUGUGGACGCCAGUCUGCAUGGAGCCGACCUUGAAAUACCACCCUUUAAUGUUUGAUGUUCUAACGUUGACCCGUGAUCCGGGUUGCGGACAGUGUCUGGUGGGUAGUUUGACUGGGGCGGUCUCCUCCUAAAGAGUAACGGAGGAGCACGAAGGUUGGCUAAUCCUGGUCGGACAUCAGGAGGUUAGUGCAAUGGCAUAAGCCAGCUUGACUGCGAGCGUGACGGCGCGAGCAGGUGCGAAAGCAGGUCAUAGUGAUCCGGUGGUUCUGAAUGGAAGGGCCAUCGCUCAACGGAUAAAAGGUACUCCGGGGAUAACAGGCUGAUACCGCCCAAGAGUUCAUAUCGACGGCGGUGUUUGGCACCUCGAUGUCGGCUCAUCACAUCCUGGGGCUGAAGUAGGUCCCAAGGGUAUGGCUGUUCGCCAUUUAAAGUGGUACGCGAGCUGGGUUUAGAACGUCGUGAGACAGUUCGGUCCCUAUCUGCCGUGGGCGCUGGAGAACUGAGGGGGGCUGCUCCUAGUACGAGAGGACCGGAGUGGACGCAUCACUGGUGUUCGGGUUGUCAUGCCAAUGGCACUGCCCGGUAGCUAAAUGCGGAAGAGAUAAGUGCUGAAAGCAUCUAAGUACGAAACUUGCCCCGAGAUGAGUUCUCCCUGACCCUUUAAGGGUCCUGAAGGAACGUUGAAGACGACGACGUUGAUAGGCCGGGUGUGUAAGCGCAGCGAUGCGUUGAGCUAACCGGUACUAAUGAACCGUGAGGCUUAACC